rnacentral:rRNA from 1 species
CAGUAGCCACGGUAAUACAGAGGGUGCGAGCGUUAAUCGGAUUUACUGGGCGUAAAGCGUGCGUAGGCGGCUUCUUAAGUCGGAUGUGAAAUCCCUGAGCUUAACUUAGGAAUUGCAUUCGAUACUGGGGAGCUAGAGUAUGGGAGAGGAUGGUAGAAUUCCAGGUGUAGCGGUGAAAUGCGUAGAGAUCUGGAGGAAUACCGAUGGCGAAGGCAGCCAUCUGGCCUAAUACUGACGCUGAGGUACGAAAGCAUGGGGAGCAAACAGGAUUAGAUACCCCCGUAGUCCCUGUCUCUUAUAC